rnacentral:tRNA from 1 species
GCGCCGUUAGUCUAUCGGUUAUGAUUCUAGCUUCCCAAGCUGGCGGGCCGGGUUCGAUUCCCGGACGGCGCA